GAUGAACGCUGGCGGUAUGCUUAACACAUGCAAGUCGAACGGACUCUUCGGAGUUAGUGGCGGACGGGUGAGUAACGCGUGAGAAUCUGGCUUUGGGUUCGGGACAACCACUGGAAACGGUGGCUAAUACCGGAUGUGCCGAGAGGUAAAAGAGAAAUUGCCUGAAGAUGAGCUCGCGUCUGAUUAGCUAGUUGGUGAGGUAAAGGCUCACCAAGGCAGCGAUCAGUAGCUGGUCUGAGAGGAUGACCAGCCACACUGGGACUGAGACACGGCCCAGACUCCUACGGGAGGCAGCAGUGGGGAAUUUUCCGCAAUGGGCGAAAGCCUGACGGAGCAAUACCGCGGGAGGGAAGAAGGCUCUUGGGUUGUAAACCUCUUUUCUUAGGGAAGAACAAAAUGACGGUACCUAAGGAAUCAGCAUCGGCUAACUCCGU
rnacentral:rRNA from 1 species